rnacentral:rRNA from 1 species
CCUACGGGGGGCUGCAGUGGGGAAUAUUGCACAAUGGGGGAAACCCUGAUGCAGCGACGCCGCGUGCGUGAUGAAGUAUUUCGGUACGUAAAGUUCUAUCAGCAGGGAAGAAAAUGACGGUACCUGACUAAGAAGCCCCGGCUAACUACGUGCCAGCAGCCGCGGUAAUACGUAGGGGGCAAGCGUUAUCCGGAUUUACUGGGUGUAAAGGGAGCGUAGACGGCAGCGCAAGUCUGGAGUGAAAUCCCAUGGCUUAACCAUGGAACUGCUUUUGAAACUGUGCAGCUAGAGUGCAGGAGAGGUAAGCGGAAUUCCUAGUGUAGCGGUGAAAUGCGUAGAUAUUAGGAGGAACACCAGUGGCGAAGGCGGCUUACUGGACUGUAACUGACGUUGAGGCUCGAAAGCGUGGGGAGCAAACAGGAUUAGAUACCCCAGUAGUC